rnacentral:sRNA from 1 species
UGGGUAACGUGAGGAGCAGCAUUUGGGGUGCGCAGGACUUAACUAUUUGUGUAUAACAUAUUAUUGAUGCCUGUGUGUCAUACUCUGCUACUCCAAGGCUAGUAGUCAAUUGCAUACCAUAUCUCAGUCUGGCACUGAGGGAAGCAGUCUGGAUGGAGGUACAGCUGGAGAUUUGGUUGAGGGGACUUAUCUCUGACAACAGCCUCUUGUUGAUCUUCCCAGACAGUGACAAUACCCUCCCCUCCCUUGGGCUGGACCCCUCUCUACAGCUAGGAGCCAAUGGCAGAAGACAAAACCAAACCGAGUGAGUUGGACCAAGGGAAGUAUGAUGCUGAUGACAACGUGAAGAUCAUCUGCCUGGGAGACAGCGCAGUGGGCAAAUCCAAACUCAUGGAGAGAUUUCUCAUGGAUGGCUUUCAGCCACAGCAGCUGUCCACGUACGCCCUGACCCUGUACAAGCACACAGCCAUGGUAGAUGGCAAGACCAUCCUUGUGGACUUUUGGGACACGGCAGGCCAGGAGCGGUUCCAGAGCAUGCAUGCCUCCUACUACCACAAGGCCCACGCCUGCAUCAUGGUGUUUGAUGUACAGAGGAAAGUCACCUAUAGGAACCUGAGCACCUGGUAUACAGAGCUUCGGGAGUUCAGGCCAGAGAUCCCAUGCAUCGUGGUGGCCAAUAAAAUUGAUGCAGACAUAAACGUGACCCAAAAAAGUUUCAAUUUUGCCAAGAAGUUCUCCCUGCCCCUGUAUUUCGUCUCGGCUGCUGAUGGUACCAAUGUUGUGAAGCUCUUCAAUGAUGCAAUUCGAUUAGCUGUGUCUUACAAACAGAACUCCCAGGACUUCAUGGAUGAGAUUUUUCAGGAGCUCGAGAACUUCAACUUGGAGCAGGAAGAGGAGGACGUGCCAGACCAGGAACAGAGCAGCAGCAUCGAGACCCCAUCAGAGGAGGCGGCCUCUCCCCACAGCUGAGGGGCUGGGGCUAGGGGUGGGUGGAGCCCUUUUAAAAUACCCUUCCCUUCAACAACUCUCCAGCUCUGAAUGGAGAAACUCUCUAGGCCAUCCCCUCUUCUACCUCCUGCAACCCACCCAUCCUAUUAGCCUCCCACAUUCAAGGCCCGUGAUACAGGGAUGAGGUCAGCACCAGCAAACUCUGGCCUGGUGGAAGAAUUCCCCACCAGAUCUCCUUGAAGCAGAAUUAGGGAUCAGCAUCAUUAACACCUUCCCCACCCCCUCCCCCCAGGCAGACAGUGAAGAGAAUCAGAAAACAUGAUUAUGUGUCACUUUAAUACAGGAAAUGUAGGUGUUUUUUGGUGUUUUUGUUUUUGUUUUUGUUUCCUUUCCAAAGCUCACCUCGGGGACAAUUCCCUGUGCUUCUGCUGAGGUAAUGAUUACCCGCCCCCCCACCCACAGCUGAGUCUGUGAGGCCCCAUCCUUUCCCUACGUUUUCUCCCAUCUUUUUUCCUCUUCAGUCUCCCAGUCAUCUGGUUUGUUUGUUUCUUUGUUCGUUCUGAGACGGAGUCUCGCUCUGUCACCAGGCUGGAGUGCAGUGGCGCAGUCUCGGCUCGCUGCAACCUCUGACUCCCUGGUUCAAACGAUUCUCCUGCCUCAGCCUCCCGAGUGGCUGGCAUCACCACGCCCAGCUAAUUUUUGUAUUUUUAGUAGAGAUGGGGUUUCACCAUGUUGCCCAGGAUGGUCUCGAUCUCCUCACCUCGUGAUCCGCCCGCCUCGGCCUCCCAAAGUGCUGGGAUUACAGGCAUGAGCCACCGCGCCCGGCCCCAAUCAUCUGUUUUUAAACAAUCGUUUUUGAGCAGAUAGCUAUUCAUUCCAGAUUUCUGUGUACCCACUCUGUUUCAGGAGCUCUUCUAGGUAAAGCUGAGAUCACAGGAACAGCAGGUGACAGGCCUAGCUAUAGUUAGGAAUACACAAGCGGUAAAAUCGAGUCCUUACAGCCAUACCACAAGGUACGUCCAUUUGGACUACAAGAAGAGCUUCCUUUAAAGUUCCUAUUUCAGCAUAAGGAGGCUGUCCUUUUUUUUUUUUUUUGAGGAAUAGUUUGGACCUUGUGCCUCCUGUGGGAGGCUGAGGACUGCAAGAGGAGAGCUAGCAGAUAUGCCUGUUCACCCCUCUCUGGUACUUGUGGCUUGCUAGUAUGUUUUUAUGAUAAUCUCGGGCAUUGUUUGCAUUGUGUUUAUUAAUAGGGUUUUGUUUUUAUUGUUUCCUUUUUUACAGUAAAGGCUGAAUUACAUAAA